ensembl:lncRNA
UUUAUUGAAGGGCCUUGAGGAAAGGUGGGGAGGUGAACACAGAGGGAAGGUGAUGGGUCUGGACUUCGCAGACUCCUGAAAGGGAGGGCAGCGAGGGGCCGGUUUCAGCAAAGUGUCAGAGUCCCUCUGAGCUCGGGGAAAGAGUUUAAAGAGGACACAUCAGUGUCGGGUCCAGUGUCGGGAGCAAAGAGGCCGGAAGCACAAAGCCUUCUGGGAGGAAGAAGAGAGGUCGAACUCGCCUGGAAGCCAGCGUGAAUUUUCCAAGUCCGUGGCCUUGGCAAGAAACGAGUCCUGUGUAAGGUGCUGUGCUGUGCGGACCUCUUCCACUCGGUGGCAAUGUGAGUUUCUCCGUGUCAUUGCCAUCGGUCGGGCACAUUCGUGCUAGUAGCAUACAAGGAUUCAUCGUGUGAACCGACCACGAUUCAUCCACUCUGUGCAGAAAGCCGCUCGGAUGGCCUGGGGUUGCUCAAUGCGGGGUUGAUGCAGACAUCAUUCUUGCUGUUUCUUCUGGUGAACACAGGUGUGCACCCCUGGUGGGUACACCUGAAGGUGGCUGCUGGGUCCUAGGGUGUGCUUUAUACUCAGAGGUACCAACCAAGACGUUUCCCACAGGGCUGGGACCGAUUUAGUGUCUGUGUGUCCUAUGACUGGAAGUGGGGUCUGGCUGCUCGCUGCCCAAAAGUCAAUAAAGAGCCCAGGUUGGUGGAAAGGAAACUUUGCUUUAUUUUGGAGGCCGACAACCAGAGGGGAGGGUGGAAUCCUGCCUAGAGGCCAACUCCCCCCUGACUUCAAUGGACAAGAGCUUUUAGAGGGGAGGUUCAAGGAUGUAUAGAUGGAGGAAGUGGGUUACAACAGCUCUGAUGGUCAUCUUGAAAUUGGUCACCGGUGGUCUGACCGUCAUUAUCUUGAUUUAAGUAUCAUUUAACGGUACUUGUUUUAAGUACGUUAGUCUUCAGUUCCAGGGCUCCCAUUAGCUUGAGGCCAGUUCUUGGAAUUGCUGCAGCUUCUCUCAUGGCUACAGUCCGGUCAUCAUGUGACUAACUUCUUCCAUCUGGUGGGGUUUUUCAGGGUCUAAAAGACAGCUCAGAGGAGAUGGCUCAGAGUAUUAUCUAUAGCCCUGGAGGAGGAACUAAAGGUCCUUGACUGUGCUCAGUGACUCAGCGAUUAUUUCUUCUGUUGGACUGCUUUCCUUUGUUUCUGCGUUUUCUCACUUCUCUGAUUAAACUUAUUCUCUGACUAAAGUUUUCCUACAGACAAAAGGCAGCUGGAGGACAUGCGGGGAAAGGACCAUAGGGCCCUGCCUUGCUUCAAUACCGGCAGCUCUAUAAUCAAGCUACUGGCAUGUUCAUAUUACUGUAAUAAUAAUUACUAC